rnacentral:rRNA from 1 species
CAUGCAGUCGAGCGGAAGGCCCUUCGGGGUACUCGAGCGGCGAACGGGUGAGUAACACGUGAGCAACCUGCCCUAGGCUUUGGGAUAACCCUCGGAAACGGGGGCUAAUACCGAAUAUGACCUCGCAUCGCAUGGUGUGUGGUGGAAAGUUUUUCGGCCUGGGAUGGGCUCGCGGCCUAUCAGCUUGUUGGUGGGGUGAUGGCCUACCAAGGCGACGACGGGUAGCCGGCCUGAGAGGGCGACCGGCCACACUGGGACUGAGACACGGCCCAGACUCCUACGGGAGGCAGCAGUGGGGAAUAUUGCACAAUGGGCGGAAGCCUGAUGCAGCGACGCCGCGUGAGGGAUGACGGCCUUCGGGUUGUAAACCUCUUUCAGCAGGGACGAAGCGUAAGUGACGGUACCUGCAGAAGAAGCGCCGGCCAACUACGUGCCAGCAGCCGCGGUAAGACGUAGGGCGCGAGCGUUGUCCGGAUUUAUUGGGCGUAAAGAGCUCGUAGGCGGCUUGUCGCGUCGACCGUGAAAACCUGGGGCUCAACCCCAGGCCUGCGGUCGAUACGGGCAGGCUAGAGUUCGGUAGGGGAGACUGGAAUUCCUGGUGUAGCGGUGAAAUGCGCAGAUAUCAGGAGGAACACCGGUGGCGAAGGCGGGUCUCUGGGCCGAUACUGACGCUGAGGAGCGAAAGCGUGGGGAGCGAACAGGAUUAGAUACCCUGGUAGUCCACGCUGUAAACGUUGGGCGCUA